rnacentral:rRNA from 1 species
AUCAACUUUCGAUGGUAGGAUAGAGGCCUACCAUGGUGGUAACGGGUAACGGGGUGUUAGGGCACGACACCGGAGAGGGAGCCUGAGAAACGGCUACCACAUCCAAGGAUGGCAGAGGCGCGCAAAUUACCCAAUCCCGACACGGGGAGGUAGUGACAAUAAAUAACAAUACGGGGUUCUUUCGGAUUUCGUAAUUGGAAUGAGUACAAUUUAAAUCUCUUAACGAGGAACAAUUGGAGGGCAAGUCUGGUGCCAGCAGCCGCGGUAAUUCCAGCUCCAAUAGCGUAUAUUAAAGUUGCUGCAGUUAAAAAGCUCGUAGUUGAAUUUCGGGACCAUCAUGUCGGUCGUGCCUCGGUACGUACUGGCAUUGUUGGUUUCUACCUUCUGACGAACCAUGAUGUCAUUUAUUUGGUGUCGUGGGAAAUCAGGACUGUUACUUUGAAAAAAUUAGAGUGUUUAAAGCAGGCUCACGCUUGAAUACAUUAGCAUGGAAUAAUGAAAUAGGACGUUUGAUUCUAUUUUGUUGGUUUCUAGGAUCGACGUAAUGAUUAAUAGGGAUAGUUGGGGGCAUUAGUAUUCAAUUGUCAGAGGUGAAAUUCUUGGAUUUAUUGAAGACUAACUACUGCGAAAGCAUUUGCCAAGGAUGUUUUCAUUAAUCAAGAACGAAAGUUAGGGGAUCGAAGACGAUCAGAUACCGUCGUAGUCUUAACCAUAAACUAUGCCGACUAGGGAUCGGAUGAUGUUAAUUUUUUAAUGACUCAUUCGGCGCCUUACGGGAAACCAAAGUGUUUGGGUUC